UACGUAGGUGGCGAGCGUUGUCCGGGUUUACUGGGCGUAAAGGGAGCGUAGGCGGACUUUUAAGUGAGAUGUGAAAUACCCGGGCUCAACUUGGGUGCUGCAUUUCAAACUGGAAGUCUAGAGUGCAGGAGAGGAGAAUGGAAUUCCUAGUGUAGCGGUGAAAUGCGUAGAGAUUAGGAAGAACACCAGUGGCGAAGGCGAUUCUCUGGACUGUAACUGACGCUGAGGCUCGAAAGCGUGGGGAGCAAACAGGAUUAGAUACCCCGGUA
rnacentral:rRNA from 1 species